rnacentral:tRNA from 1 species
GCGGGUUUGGCGGAAUUGAAAAACAAUGACGCGCUGCUUUCUAUUAGAGAGUAGGUUCCAGUAUCGCAAGAUGUGAGAGUUCAAGUCUCUUGACCCGUACCA